UACGGGGGGGGCAAGCGUUGUUCGGAAUUACUGGGCGUAAAGGGCUCGUAGGCGGCCAACUAAGUCGGACGUGAAAUCCCCAGGCUCAACCUGGGAACUGCGUCCGAUACUGGAUGGCUUGAAUUCGGGAGAGGGAUGCAGAAUUCCAGGUGUAGCGGUGAAAUGCGUAGAUAUCUGGAGGAAUACCGGUUGCGAAGGCGGCAUCCUGGACCGACAUUGACGCUGAUGAGCGAAAGCUAGGGGAGCAAACGGG
rnacentral:rRNA from 1 species